rnacentral:rRNA from 1 species
AAACCAGCACCUCAAGUGGUCAGGAGGAUUAUUGGGCCUAAAGCAUCCGUAGCCUGCUGUAUAAGUUUUCGGUUAAAUCCAUGUGCUCAACACAUGGGCUGCCGGGAAUACUGUACAGCUAGGGAGUGGGAGAGGUAGACGGUACUCGGUAGGAAGUGGUAAAAUGCUUUGAUCUAUCGAUGACCACCUGUGGCGAAGGCGGUCUACCAGAACACGUUCGACGGUGAGGGAUGAAAGCUGGGGGAGCAAACCGGAUUAGAAACCCCAGUAGUCC